GGAAGGGCCUGGUGUAUUGCAGUCCUCAGGAUCGGUUAUGAAGAGUGGGAUGAGACCGAAUGACCAAACAGCAACAAAUUUAUGCAGCAUCUGUGAGUGAUUGUCACAAUUGCUAGUCGAACUGGAUUUGACUUGUUGCCAACGUGAAUUUUCCAAAAACCCAAUGUAAACAAACUCUUUCACAGACGGAAAUCCAGCCGCUGGCAUGAUAUGAUACCAUUGAGACAGACGCCGGUGCCGCUUUGCCCCCCUUGGAACUU